rnacentral:miRNA from 1 species
UAAGUUUCUUGCCUCUUACAAU